AAAAUAUUAGGAAUUGCCAAUUUUCGCUACUUUUUAACUUUUGCCCCCCUGUAGCAAAAAAACUACUCGACGGGUCAUGCUGAAAUUUGGCAUGAUGAUUCUUCAAGAUUCAAAGGCCAUACCUUUUGGUGUUGGAUGUUUCAAAACUUAUUAUUAACGGAGGUAUGACGAUUUAAAGAUUGUGAAACGCAAACGGACUUCCUUUGUUUUCUAGACACUUAUCGAGUUUUUCUUGUCUGAAGAAAAAAAGCAAAACGACGGACAGACUCGAAAUUUGACGAGAGGAAUGUAGAUGAGUUGAAAAGUGAAUAUUUUGGCCUCUGACAUUGCUAAAUUCAGUGAAAGUUCAUUUUUUAGAGUUCUGAAGUACGGAUUUUUUUAACAACUGGCAUCACUGGAUAUAGUCAGCUGUUUCUUAUUAUUGUUGGCGCGCUCUUUAUGUCAAACCAAAAUAUAAGCACGUAACCUUGUAAGUGCUUCCACCGUUUGUUCAUUGUUUUGUUUGUUUAUGUAUCAAGUUCUUUUGAUUUUCCGGAUUGUGAUGAUAAAAGGUAUGUUAUCAUUAUUUGCUAGUUUCUGAAGUUCAAGACAUGCCAUCGCAGCGAAACCGAUCUGCACGAAGCAUGUGGAAACAUAAAAGGCUCAAUAUUUUAUGACUGCCCACUUCAAGAUCUGUGAGCGGUCCCAUCUGUGAACAUUACGGUCUGUAAUAUCAGUUGACAGAUUCAGUUGCAUGAGAGGCAGCCUACUUAGGGAAUGUUGAAGGAUGCCGUUUGCUGAAUGAACAUGCAUCUACUUUUGAUCACUAAGGUUUUGGAUUCAAAAGCUUUCGGUUUACUCAUUCCCUUCUUCGAUGUGACUGAGAAUUGCUGCAACGCCAUAGGGGCUUAUGCUACAAGUUAAUUUUACAGGGUUUGCUGGAUCGUCAAGUUCAUUCUGGUUUCGAGAAAUGUGCCUUGAUCUUGUUCAUGUUUUCGUUUACGCUACAAAAUCUUCAUCAAUUCUUCAAUUCUUUACUUCAUUUCUCAGUGCAAGGUAUGUCCUAAGGUUGAUCAUUAAUCUGCUUUUUCCUCAAACUUCCACAAUUGAUUUUUUCAAAAAAUGCCAAACUAAAAAAAAACUAAAAAAAAAAAAAACCAGUAAGUGAUGAACUUGCGUUCAACCAAAGAUUUUCAAGUUGCAGAAACUGUUUGUAGUCCGCGUCAUUUUUUGUAGCCCGUACACUGUCCACACAGGUAUAGGGAAAAUUCACUUGUUACAAAUAUAUCAGUAUGCCUUGGAACACUUUUUUCGAAUUUCUAUCCAUAUCCUUAAAUACUGUUCUCCAAAACUCAUUAUUGAAUGUCUUUGUGAAAAAAGACAGUGAGGAGUAAAGAAAUCUUGAUAGUUGAGAUUCUAGAAUCAUCAACUACGAAAUUUCAACCAUUUGCUUUGAAUAUAAUUUUAGUAACUACUAUUAUAAUAAUAGUAACUCAAUAUUCAUACAACUUGGUCAACGAUUAACAAACUAAAAACGUAAUUCAAUAUCCGAAGAAGAAAGCGUUUUAAUACUAUAAGGUUAAAAAUGCCAAAGUUGCAGUUUUUUUUUCUCAGUCACUCACCAGCAUACUCUUUAAAUACCAAAUAAUAUUUAAAUAAAAAGGCUUUCUAAAUGCUUCCAUGCCUAAAGCUGAUUAUCACUGACUGUCCCAAAUGAUUCUCAGUAGAAAGAGCAAAAAGAGCUUGCUUUGCCUCACUGAAAUUGUUUCAGAUCUUUAUCUCCCUGAUUUUUUUUAUCUCCUUUCAUACACAUGACCUGUGUAUUUUCUUCCCUAAUUUCAAUUUUUAUGUUUGUUUCAGAUGUGCCUGUGAUUAAUUUCAUCCUGGAAUAGCUUUAAUUAAAAAAAGAAAAUGACUGGUGGCUCUUCAUUAUUUUUUAAUUAACAUGGAUUUCCGAUUCUAAUCUCCUCUGUCAAUUUUUGAGAUUCCUUUAAUACAAAAAAUGUAAUGAAAAAUUGUUUUAUUUUUCAGUUUAUUUUAGUUUUUUAUUACCACUCUCUGAAUUAUACUUGCCAAUCAUUAUUGCUCUGAAUGAUUUUAUGCCAGAAGUGCUCAAUUUAGACGCCAACAUUAGUUGGAACAUGCUCAAUUGCUAUUGGCAAAUACUAAUUCCUCUAAUGCGACAAUUAAACCAAAUGAACACGGCCAAACAACUGCAAGCAACUAUCACCACAUCAGAGCCGUUCUCUUUGCCUAUCAGGAUAUUGAAGGAAAACUGCUCAAAUUUACUCGGUGAAACAGACAUUGCCUAGCAUCAUUUGAAAGUCAACAGUAAUGUUGAACCUCUAUAAAUGUAAAACUCUACUUUAAAAAUAUCAAAAAACUACAUUAUAUUUUAUAAAUUAGA
rnacentral:lncRNA from 1 species